AAGGGGAACCGCGGCUGUCACUUUUAAGUCUCAGAACUCAGCUGACACCAGCGUGGAGGGUGGUGCUGGUGCAUGUUUGUAUACAAAUAUACGUCAUUCAAACUCCUCCAGUCCUCCUAAGGAGGAGGGUGUUACAUAUUUAUUACACAUUUACAUUUACUGAUGGUCCGUAUUAGUGUACCACAAACAUUCGUAACGCAUUUUAGAAAUUCAAUGUCAUGAAAACAUCAUCGAUAUUAGAGGGGAAGUUUACACACAAAUUUUAGUGAGGAGGACCAGUCAUUCAUUUGCCGUAAAGGAAAGGCAAUAGACGGCUGUCUGACACCCGUCUAUUUCCUGCUUUUCUUUUCUUUCUCGUCGUAGUGAGUUGAUAACGGGGUAAGGGAGGAAGCUGAAUAAAAGAUAAAUACAAAUAAAAAACGAAUAAUAUAAUCGGUCUGUAAAGUAAGCUAGUUAAAGACAUGGGAAAGUUAGUAAGGAGCCUUUUUUUUCACUCGGGGUUUAAGAGGACUCCAGCCGUACUUCAGGUACGCUGGAUUCUUCUGAUGGUGUCCAGCAGGCUGAAGAUCGACAUCUGGAGUUUCGCUCUGAAUCCUGACCUCCUCCUUGUGCUUUUGUGGCUUCUGAGGCAAAGCAGAACAGCUGCUGAUCCUGAGCUACUCUUACAAAUGGAAGUUCAGUGAAGAGCUUCUCUCACACAACAUAUCCUCUAUUGGACCUGACUGAAGAGCCAGAGCCUGAUGUUCUCUACAGUCAUGGCCAGAAGAAGCUCCAGUGCCAGAAAUGAAUCACAAAGCUGAAUUCUAUGUAUAUUUACAUGGUAAUAAAAAGUCUGUAAAGUGGUGAUCUGUGUUGGGGUCCUUAAUGCUGACUGAAAAUAGUUUGUGACUUCUUAAUGAAAAGUGCCUUUAAAACUCUUUAUUUAAAUAAACAGAAAAUAUGCUUUUAAAAAUAUGACAGGAAGGGUUUUAUGGAAAUAAAGUAGGUGUAUUAUUUAGCAGUAUCUGAAAAUCCUUAUCAGGUGAUUAAUUGAAUUCACCCUGUUUUGGUGAACUUUGUGUAGAUUCACACUUUUAUUUAAAGCCAAUAAAUGUCUCGCCUUUUAAUUUGACUUUGUCUCUGUGUCCUGCAUUUGGUUGUGCUGUCAAGAAAGUGUUGGUCAUUUUACAACAUGAGCAUUAUUUUGUCUUUCCCUGAAGGAAUAUUCAGGAAAUGAGGAUUAAAACGAGCGUGUCUGUUCAUUUCCUUUUGAUUCAUGAACAGCCUGGAUCAGGUCCAGUGUGUAACAGCCUCAGUGUUUCCUGAACUGUUUGCCUCCAAUAACCUUUGUCUCUGCUGGGCUACACUGGGAAACUCUCCACACUGACAUUCAAAGGGAAAAAGAAUCAUUCUUGUGUGUGUUGCUUAAUUUCUACAGUUUAGACAAUUUAAUCAGUUUGUCAGCAAAUAAAACCUCUUACAUCCAUCAGAGAUGCUGGCUGUAACCUCGUGUUGUAGUGGAUUUUUGUAUGACAUGUAUACCUAUAAAUCUAACAUGAUGGAUUUUUGUACUUAUAUAUCGAUCUGAAUAACUUUCAUGUGGAGUUUUAGGCAUGCAGUGGUUCACACACACACACACACAAACACACACACACACCCACAAGUCAUGCAGCACACUCAUGAGGCAUAUCUUCACUGUCCUGUACACACACACACACACACACUAUAAACCUACACUGGAGUGUUUUAUUUUUAUGUUAUGCAUUUAACUCAUAUAUUUGAAGUAGUUAGGCCAAGUAUUAUUCACAUUAAUAUCAUAAUUAUCUUUUAAAAACUAUGCUAUUUGCUGUACUAAUGUGUGACCUUUGACCAUGUUGUGACCUAUUGUCAGAGGGUAAAGCAAAGGGUUAACCUAGGGGUGUCACUUUGGACCGGGCGUUCAGCCAGCGCCAGGUGUGAACUCUGGCCGGCAUUUGACCCUGCACCUGCUCCUGGGUGCGUGGGAAAGUUACUCAGCAGCAGGAGGUGGGACUACUGGUACCUUUAAAAGGGGGCCGGGGACAGCCCUCUGGGCUUUUUCCUGCUGUCUGUCCGUGGGGUCGGUCCCUACCUGCAUGCGCUUACUGCGAACACCCUAGGGGAGCUUUGCUUUUCCUUCUGUUUUGCUGAGCUACACUGUUCAAUAAAACAGCUGGCAUAGAACUUUGUUCCUCUCCUGUAAUUUUUGUGUUUUUGACUUUAAUUGGAAUUGGGAAGCUGAGAUCUACCUAUUGCUAAUCUGAAGAAUUACUCUCCAUUGUGACAACUACAGUGUUUGAGAUCGUUUCUCCUCCUGAUUAAUAGCUGUUAAAUUACUGCCUGUUUGUAUCUUGAGUGAGGACCUCUCCCUGUCUAACAGCACCACAUCACUGGCCAAGGAGGCUCAAACUCGCCUCUACUUCCUCGGAAAUUGAGGAGAGUACGAGUCCCACGUGUUCCUUCUACUGGGCAUUUUUAUAUAUAUAUAUGAAUGAGAUUCACAGCUUUAGCAAGGAUAAGCUUACCAAAAAAAUAAAAAAAAUACUACAGAAAGAAAAUAGCAAACUUUACAUGUUUCUGUCCAUAUUUGAUUCUUUAAAAUGUUUUCCCAUUAAGUCUAAAUGUUUCAGAACAGAUUCCACAUGUGCAGAGGCUCGUGGAAGACAAUCUGAGGGACUUCCUCUUUCGUCAAGUUGAGCACAGCCACAGAUCCGCUGGCUAACUCUUUCUUUUCUGUGAGCUGUUUUGUUUGGUUUUUUUGCCCUCUGUACAUGUAAAGAAGGACAGUCUUACAUGUCUGUUUUGGCAUUCUGAGGGACUUCCUCCUUCAUCGAAGUCUAACCACAAAUGCAGUGUUACUGUCACUUCUCACUACACUGCAUGAGCUGCAUGAGCUGUGGUUUUUCCAUUCUUGUUGUGACUAAUGUUUUUUCACAAAUCUGUCAGUCCAACACCACCUCAUCCUACAACCUAUAAUCUAAAAUUAAAGCUUAUAAGAGGUUUAUAAACUUAUUUUUUCCUCUUGGCAUAACCAGGCUUCAAACUUUACCAGCACCAACUGGACUGAGCUGUUAACAAGAAAACACCAAUAAAUCAAUAUAAUACAAAAUUGUGUGUGUUUGUAUUUUUUUCCCUCCAUGGUGUAAGUUACUGGUGUGCAGAUAUUGUGUAACUCGCUACAUGUAAGAACGGAUGGUGAAGUUAGACACAAUAGGAAGACAUGGAGACACUGAUGAGCAUCUCCAAGUAAAAGAACCAGUGUCUUUAUUUUAAAAAAGAAAAUUCAUUUUUUUUUAUUCAUUAGCAUUAUUAUUAUUGUUAUCAUUAGGCAGUAGGUUAGUUUCCUCUGGAGUAUCAGGUGACCUUGCAGAGCCAUUUGUAGAGACGUGCUGAUCUCCUGAUGACUGAUCAUUAUUGGUGGUGUGGCACCCGUUUAGUUGGUCUCCGGUCUCCUCAUCUCUUGUUUCUCUCCUCUGUUUCCGGCCCAAGAGGAAAGCCAGAGGACCAACGAUCCCAGAUGUUACAGCUGCUGUUACAAGGACUGUGAUCACUGUGAUCCAUGUCCUAUCAGAGGACUCUGAUGGCUGUCAGGACAAGAAGACAGGAACCAGGCAUGUUAGUGAGUGUGGUUUCAGCCAGCGUUAAUUUAAACGGAUGUUUCACGUGUCAUCAUUAAAAAUGUCCCCUUACACACAAACACUAACAGACAAUGAGCUCCACCCGUGAAGUGAACUGACUGUGCAAGGCAUCAAAUCCAGGUGUUGGUGGAAAGCCUGCGUGCUGUGACAUCACCUCACUGUCCUCCACUCAAACACUGACUCACUGCUCUGAAACACUGACUGCGGAGUUUGGCGCCAAACGCGCCAAUAACGAGGCAUCAGA
rnacentral:lncRNA from 1 species